rnacentral:rRNA from 1 species
GAUGAACGCUGGCGGCGUGCCUAAUACAUGCAAGUCGAACGCUUCACUUCGGUGAAGAGUGGCGAACGGGUGAGUAAUACAUAAGUAACCUGGCAUCUACAGGGGGAUAACUGAUGGAAACGUCAGCUAAGACCGCAUAGGUGUAGAGAUCGCAUGAACUCUAUAUGAAAAGUGCUACGGGACUGGUAGAUGAUGGACUUCUGGCGCAUUAGCUGGUUGGUAGGGUAACAGCCUACCAAGGCGACGAUGCGUAGCCGACCUGAGAGGGUGACCGGCCACACUGGGACUGAGACACGGCCCAGACUCCUACGGGAGGCAGCAGUAAGGAAUUUUCGGCAAUGGGGGAAACCCUGACCGAGCAACGCCGCGUGAAGGAAGAAGUAAUUCGUUAUGUAAACUUCUGUCAUAGAGGAAGAACGGUGGAUAUAGGGAAUGAUAUCCAAGUGACGGUACUCUAUAAGAAAGCCACGGCUAACUACGUGCCAGCCGCCGCGGUAA